rnacentral:lncRNA from 1 species
AACAUACUAGACAUUAAUAUUCUGCUAGCAAUGGGAAGAUAACCAUAACGACAUAAACUGAAUUAACUAGUGUGCACGACUAGUUAAAAAAACAACAUCCUUGACAAGAAGUUUCUAAUUAAAUCAUCGAUGUGCCUGGGCAGCGUUAUUAUGAGAGUGAAGGUGGACGUGCUGCUACUUCCCUCAUUCCCAACAUGAAUCAAGUACCUGCAUUGAGUAAUGCAAGAGUGAGAUGAAAACAUCUCAGCAAGUAAAUUGUUUUGACGAGAUAUUUAAACCAAAAAAAUAUUGAAUUAAUCAUCAUUUUAAAGGGAUCACAAUUGAGAUCAGAAAUUUUUGUAGAUAUAGAACUCAAUAGUCCCAAAAUAACCAAUGCCAUCUCAUUUCCUUGAACAACCACAAUAGGUUGUAUAACACUUUCCUGCGUCAACAAUACCCGCAAAUAUCACUUUAAUGUAUGCAUAGGAAUGCAAUGUGUAAGUCCACUGCGUUCAUACCUCUUAGAGUAUAAAACCACACCAUCUGCAAAUAUCACUUCAAUGAAUGCAUAUGAAUGCAAUGCAUAUGUCCUCUGCCUUCAUACCUCUAAGGGUAUGAAGCUGCAUCGUACCCCUCCUCGGGCAACGUACGAUGCUAAGUUGUACCGGUACGGUCGGACCAUAGGUCACGACAAAACUUCAGAUGCAAGUGAAUCAUGCAAUGUAUAUGGCAUGCUGCAUUUAUCAAUAUACUUCACUUCCUUCAUAUACAAUACAAACCUCAAACAAUACUUUGUUUACCUUCACAUACAAUACAAACCUCAAAUAAUACUUCGUUUACCUUCAGAUACAAUACAAACCUCAAAUAAUACUUCAUUCACCUUCAGGGGUGUGAAUUAAUCUCGUGGGUCAUACUCGAAUCAUCAUCAUCAUCAAUAUAUGAUUAAGCAUCAAUAUAAUACAAUCAAGUAAAGCAUCACCAUAGAGUUCAAUUAUGAAAGAAUUCGAUGAUUCUGAAUAUUAGAGUGUAGGCGAUGAAACAACAAGUCAAAACGGUAGCAACCACCGCUACAUCCACUUGCCUUCAUCGAAGAACAAAAAAUGUACUAGGCAUGAUCCGGAGUGUAGACACCUGCUGCGAGACAUAAAACUUAGUACAAAUAUUUCACAAACAUUUGCCAACAAUCAACAAAUCGCUCCUAUACUUGAAACCAAGACCCGGUGGAAUGACUCCCACCCUGAACCACAUGCCAAACAACAGCAGCGCUGUUUGUUAAUUUUGUAUCUUUAAAAUUAUAACAGUAGUGAUAUCAAACAAAUACUCUAGGAGUUUCUACACAAAAUACUCUACAACUUCGGUAUUCAAUGGAUAAUUAAAUUUUGCCAUCUAUAAGUUCUAAAACAUCUGACAAGAUAACUGACUGAAUCUGUUUCAGACAGCAGCAUAGUUAACUUUAUAAUUCUAUAUCUCCCAAACUACUCAACCACAAAUUAUGAAAUUCUGCUGGCAGUAAGAACUUUUAUCCCGCUACAAAAGUCUCCAUAGUUGGAAGAGCCAAUUCGGCCAUUUACUAGAUGAAACCUACCAGUGAACAGACCCGCUCAUUUUUGUUAGGCAAACAGGAACAGCCACAGUAAAACAAACAUAACUGGAGUUUCAAAAUUCAUAUGAAUGCCCUCUUUAACAAUCUGGAAAGCUUAUGAAAUUAUCUACAACUUCUUUUACCAACCUAAAGUUUAAUUCUGUUGAUAAAAUUGUCUAAAUCUUAAGAGAACAGAUUCUGCACAGAAUUGUGAGACUGAAAAACUGCUAUAAUCAAACUGCAAUAACUUUCUGAUCUGAUGUCCGAUUGGGGUGUUCUUUGCGGCCACGGAAAGAUCUACAAAUUAUCUACGACUCAUAGAUAGACUUUUUAUUUUUUUGAGGCCACUAAGGGCACAGAAAACUGGUAUGAACAGAAACUAUCGAAUCUGCCAUUCUGCAGAAACUAAUUUCGAGAUCAAAAACUAACCACCCAUCUAAUCCAACCUCUAAUCCUUCAAUCCCCAUGAUUUACAACCUCCAAAAACACAUAAUUACAUGGAGGAACAUGGAUCUUAUCCUUACCUAGGAUUUCCCCAAGAAAAACUGCAAGAAAAGAUGGGGUAGAACAUCUCCUUGAUCCUCUCUUCCUCUUCAAUUCAACGUGCUCCUCCUAUUCUCGAUCCUUG